GACCUGCCAUUCAUUACAACUCAGAAAACUAAUGACAUUGACAGCCUUAAAGUUCGCCUGAAAAAUGGAUUGAGUUCCAAGUAUAAACCAGUAGACUAUCAGCAAUUAUAUGCAAUUACUGAAGCAAAAAAGCUAGCAUCUGCUUCUAUACAGUUAAAGCACUGAAUCAUUGACCAAGAAUCCCUUCAAAUUAUCCUGAAGACUCCACUUGAUGAAACUUCAAAGACAC
rnacentral:lncRNA from 1 species